rnacentral:rRNA from 1 species
GACGGAGGGUGCAAACGUUGUUCGGAAUUAUUGGGCGUAAAGCGAGUGUAGGCGGUUUGAUAGGUCGGAUGUGAAAGCCCAGGGCUCAACCCUGGAACUGCGUUCGAAACCAUUAGACUUGAGUACGAAAGAGGGUUGUGGAAUUGUCGGUGUAGAGGUGAAAUUCGUAGAUAUCGGCAAGAACAUCAGUGGCGAAGGCGACAACCUGGUUCGAUACUGACGCUCAGACUCGAAAGCGUGGGGAGCAAACAGG